rnacentral:rRNA from 1 species
UACGGGGGGGGCAAGCGUUGUUCGGAAUUACUGGGCGUAAAGGGCUCGUAGGCGGCCAACUAAGUCGGAUGUGAAAUCCCCGGGCUCAACCCGGGAACUGCGUCCGAUACUGGAAGGCUUGAAUCCGGGAGAGGGAUGUGGAAUUCCAGGUGUAGCGGUGAAAUGCGUAGAUAUCUGGAGGAACACCGGUGGCGAAGGCGGCAUCCUGGACCGGUAUUGACGCUGAGGCGCGAAAGCUAGGGGAGCAAACGGG